GUCCUGAGUUGUUCCAAAAUGAUGCAGUUUGGCGCACCCUUAGGUGCACUGCUUCAGCUUGUGCCACAGCCAAUUGGGUUUGUAACACAUCAAUUUGUUGCUGAAGUGAUGAAAUGGCACCUACACACCCAUACACAGGAUCUCUCACUCUUGCAUUUGCCUCAUACACCAUGCUACUCACUGCAUCCCCUCUUUGAUGUUCAGGGAUCACAUGGCUGACCAAAAGAUAUAUUGGAAUAUGAAGAAAUGAAAAAGCAUGACAAAGAGAUUAGGACGUACGAUGUGAGGUGAAAGAAAAGAGUGGAGCAAAACCUGAAGCAUCUUGUUAACAUUGCUAGCACCAAAGACUUUGUGAACAUUAGCAAAUUUGUGAGGCUCAUCUGCAGGGAAAUAAGGAGCAAAAACACAAUCUUGAGCACAUCUUCUUCUUAGAAGCUUGCAUGCAGCACAUGGUGAGGCUGCACCUUGUUUCCUACCUCCUCCUCCACUAACCUCUUUCAUCCUUAAAGUUCAAACUGUCAAUGUCUAAUAAAACAUAUGAGAGAGGAAGUAGAAGAAGAAGAAGAGGGAGAGAUAUAUAUAGCAAGAGAAAAAGUGAGAUAGAUGUAAGAGAGAGGGCGUGUGAAUGUGAUGCUGUGGGGAAUACACACAAAAUUAUGUAGGGACUCACUAUAGUGGCCUGCAUUAUUAUAUUUAAAUAAUAAUAAUUAUUACGGAAAACAGCAAAACGGCAUGGCACCACCACUCUAUCAACAUUUUUGUGGGUCCCUCCUAUUCAUAA